GGGAUUAUAUCAUAUCAGCCCAGAGAGACAAAAGGGUUAAUUAUCAGCUUGUAACUCGUGACAUGAAACCUCUGGCAAAGUAGCCCAGAUCUAGGCUUGAACCCUCCACAGCUGACCUGGGGGGGGAGGAGUGCGGUCUCACCCUCUGAAUCAGGCUUCACUGGCUCAGACGCUGAAACAGAAUCUAGCCAACAUACACAUAACUGUCAGAUAGCUUGGAAUUAAAUUAAAUGGACUUGAGAAGCAUUGGUCAGAGGAGCGCAACUUAAUGCUUUGUCCAACAGGUGUCUCUAACUGCGAGGGAGGGAGGGAGGAGGAGGGUGUUUGACAUAAUAAAUACACAAAAAGGGAACAUUAUUGUUGGUUCCACUUCACAGUUGAUUCAUGGGGAUUCAGGACAACGUUAUCACAAAACUGAUUUCUGGAGUACUGGCCGACAAGGAGGACCAUUGGUUUGCUCUGGAAAUCUGCUGCCUCCAAAGCCGGAGAGUGGAAAUCAUGAAAAAGAAAAGCACAAGCUGGCUCCAACCAGAAGAGAAAGAGGAGUGGAACUGAACAAUAAGAUAACAGAAGCCUCCCAGGUCCUCAACUGGCCGCUUCAUUAAAUAGUACCUGCAAAACACCAGUCUCAACAGUGAAGAGGCAACUCUGGGAUGCUGGCCUUUGCUGGUUGCAAAGUCAAAUUCAUAUCUCAGACUGGCCAAUAAAUAGAUUAAAAAGUUUGCAGGUGCCAAUUUUUAUUACUAUUUCUAACCGUGUCAAUAUUUUGUAAUAAUUUUGCUAUAUUUCCUAUUCUAACUCGCUGUGUGUAUGUUUUGAUGAAAAACCAGGACAUUUCUGAGUGACCUCCAUCUUUUGAACAGUAGUGUAGGCCCAUCUCAUGACAGUGGAUCACAUAAACACUUGACGAGUAAAAUGAACACUCCUGGUGUUAAAGGAACAGUCUGAAAUGUACUGUGUCGACAAACACCAACAUUUUCUGCUAAUAGGAAAGGAUGUUAGCAAAUGAAUCAACAUCAUUCCAAACACCAACACAACAUGGACACACACACACAUGGUUCCAUUCUGUACUUGUCAACGUUGUCAUAUAGUGACCAACACUUUACCGGCAAUGCAAACACAACAACAUACAGGACCACUAACAUUGAACCUUGGUGCUCAUUAGAUAUGGGCUUGUCUUUGAGGCUAAAGAUAAGUCAGUCUUAGCUUUCCAAAGAGGAAGAUAUAUCAUAUCUAAUAUUAAUAAUAAUAAUAAUUUUACAUCUAUCAUCAGCAUUCUAUCGGAGCUAUGGUUUUGGUAGACUGCUAUAAUAUACAUACACACUGCAGCUGUAGUUUGAUGAUGGACAGAUAGCCCAUCGAGUCAGCCAGGCCUGGGAGUCCCAGUCUCUCUUAACCAGCUCGGAUCCCCUCAGAGUAAGAUACAUCCUGGAGGUCCAGACCAUCACCAUGGUUACAGCCUGCCGUCUCUGUGAAGCUCUGGCUGCUCUCUGUUGUCUGGGGCCGAGGGAACACAUCCUAUCCCCCCCCCCACCCUCCCCCUCCCCCUCCCCCUCCCCCUCUCUC